GACGAACGCUGGCGGCGUGCUUAACACAUGCAAGUCGAACGGAAAGGCCCUGCUUUUGUUGGGUGCUCGAUUGGCGAACGGGUGAGUGACACGUGUGUAACCUGCCCUUGACUUUGGGAUAACUUCAGGGAACUGGGGCUAAUACCGGGGAGGAGCUCCUGCUGCGUGUGGGUGGUUGGAGAGUUUCGGCGUUUGUGGAUGGACUCGCUGCUUAUCAGCUGGUUGGGGGGGUAGUGGAUUUCCAGGGCUUUGAGGGGUAGCCCGCCUGAGAGGGUGACCGGCCACCUUGGGCCUGCGAUACGGCCCAGACGCCAACGGGCGGCAGCAGUCGGGAAUAUUGCACAAUGGGCGGACGCGUGAUGUAGCAACGUCGCGUGCGGGAUGCCGGCCUACGGGUUGUAAACCGAUUUCGCCUGUGACGAAGAGUGAGUGACGGUAAUGGGUAAAGAAGCAACGGCUAACUACGUG
rnacentral:rRNA from 1 species